AGAGUUUGAUCAUGGCUCAGAAUGAACGCUGGCGGCGUGCUUAACACAUGCAAGUCGAACGAUGAAGCCUAGCUUGCUAGGUGGAUUAGUGGCGCACGGGUGAGUAAUAUAUAGAUAACGUGCCUCUUAGUCUGGGAUAGCCAUUGGAAACGAUGAUUAAUACUAGAUACUCCUUCUCUUUAUAAUGAGAGUUGGGAAAGUUUUUCGCUAAGAGAUCGGUCUAUAUCCCAUCAGCUUGUUGGUAGUGUAAGAGACUACCAAGGCUAUGACGGGUAGCGGGUUUGAGAGGAUGAUCCGCCACACUGGUACUGAGACACGGACCAGACUCCUACGGGAGGCAGCAGUGAGGAAUAUUGCACAAUGGAGGAAACUCUGAUGCAGCAACGCCGCGUGGAGGAUGACGCAUUUCGGUGUGUAAACUCCUUUUAUAGGUCAAGAAAAUGACGGUAGCCUAUGAAUAAGCACCGGCUAACUCCGUGCCAGCAGCCGCGGUAAUACGGAGGGUGCAAGCGUUAUUCGGAAUCACUGGGCGUAAAGGACGCGUAGGCGGGAAGCCAAGUCUGAUGUGAAAUCCUACAGCUCAACUGUAGAACUGCAUUGGAAACUGGUUACCUAGAGUAUGGGAGGGGGAGAUGGAAUUAGUGGUGUAGGGGUAAAAUCCGUAGAUAUCACUAGGAAUACCGAAAGCGAAGGCGAUCUCCUGGAACAAUACUGACGCUAAGGCGUGAAAGCGUGGGGAGCAAACGGGAUUAGAUACCCCGGUAGUCCACGCCCUAAACGAUGAACACUAGUCGUCGGAAUGCUAGUCAUUUCGGUGAUGCACUUAACAGAUUAAGUGUUCCGCCUGGGGAGUACGGUCGCAAGAUUAAAACUCAAAGGAAUAGACGGGGACCCGCACAAGUGGUGGAGCAUGUGGUUUAAUUCGA
rnacentral:rRNA from 1 species